CAAUAACUUUAUUAAAUGUUGAUUAUAAAUGAUUCACUCACGUUUUAGCUAACAGACUGAAAAAGUGGUUCAACAGUCAGUUGUAAUAAGUGAAACUCAAUCUGGUUUCCUUCCAGUUAAUCCACAAUAACAUUUGUUUAGUCCGAGAUUUAUUAGAUUAUGGAAGAUUAAUUGAAGACAAUUUUUAAAAAAAUUUCAAAUUUUUAGCCUUCACCGUAUUCAUUAAAUCUGAUUUAAAGUUACAAUGUGAAGCUUCUCAGCGCGUUUGAUGCAUUUUGAUCUUGAGGGAUGUGGACUGAUCGGCAGAAGUGGUAUUCGGGGGAUGAGCUGGAUGUCAGGGCCAUCAUGGACACCUGGACGCUGCAGGAGGGCUUCCCGCUGGUCACCGUGGAGGUCAAAGGGCGGGAGGUCAGGGUGAGUCAGGAGCGGUUCCUUAGGACGGACAACCCCUCCCUCACUGAAGGGUAAUAAACCCAUACGUCACUCCUCAAUACAUCCCUUUUCCUUUUUUUAUUUCCUAAAGCCAUAACAACAGCAGCUAUAAAAGUAGAAACAUUCUGGCCCACAUAGCUAAUAUUUUCCCUGCAUGUGACCGUUUUUUCUUUGAAUGAUUAAAAAUGAAAAAUCAAAAAUUGUCAGGGAAAUCCUCACAGCAUGAGUGAAAAAGGCCAUCUGUCAAUCAUUUCUGCUGGAGCUAAAAUGAAGGAGAGCAGACGUGAGGAAGCUCAAGUGCAGAUCUGUAACCUCGGCAGGAGCUCUGAACUGGAAAAUUGAACAAGAUUGGAAGAGACGUUCAGAAAAACAUCAGAAAAUGGACUGAAACACUGUGAGGCUGUAAACGAUCAGAUUUCUUUUCAAUUUCAUGUAAAUUUGUCCACAUUCCAAAGUACCGCAGUAGGAUUUCUCAACCAUUGUUUUGGCGGUGUCACAUAGUGCAUCUGUUCACCUGCAGGAUGUUUUUUCCUGGUUUGUUUGUGUGAAUCAAAAUUGGAGUUAUGCAAAAUCAGAAAAGGAGCAAAAACUUUUUUUUUUUAUUCGUGUGAAUAAAUCCUCAUAUUUCAACAGUAUUUUCAUAUCCUGUCGUUAAAAUUAUUAGCCAGUGUAUAUCAUAGUACCUCAUGGUAUUUCCUCACAUAAGUGUAUAAAAGCAUGCAGUGUUUGCAUGAAACCACAAUAGCAAAAUAGCUUUCAUGAGUAGAAUAAAAAGAGAGAAAGUUGUUUAUGGUUUGCCUGAUUUUCUGGUAGCAGGACACCUCGGUUAGAAUCCCGCCUGGACCCUUUCUGUGUGGAGUUUGCAUCUUCUUCUAGUGCACGUAUCUCUGAUUAGUGCCUCUAAAUUAGAAAACUAGAAUGGGCUCCAGCAAUCAGUCCUAGCCAGGAUGGAACAGGAUAAUCAACGGAUGGGCUAAACCUAAAAACCAACUCAGUGCUGCUGUUUUCUCCAAAGAGGAGGUCAAGUUUGGAGUUAAAUUCAAUGCAUUAACAUUCUUCUGUGUUUAACUGCAGGUUUGACCUGGGAUCCAGCACUAUAUCCCACUUGGUAGCCGGAGUAACCAACCAGUACUCCACCAGAGAGAUGCUUCACGAGAUACGAAGCUUCUUCGACUCCCUGACAGAGGAGGCGGGUUCUCAGAUGAGGUGCAUCCAGCAGAGCUACGAGACCAUCGAGGACAACAUCCGCUGGAUGGACAGGAACCUUCCUCUGCUGCAGGCCUGGCUGAACAAACAUGGCAGCAGAAACCACCAUCAGGAGUUAUGAGGGGGGGUUAAGGGGUCACAGAAGCCAAAACAGAAGCAGGUCGAUGAUAGAAUUUCUAUAUUUUUACUUGAUGAAAAA